GGGGGAAAAUUUAAUAGUUUAAAAAUAUAAAAAAUAAUUUUAAUAUAAAAUAUUUAAUGGGGGUUAAAGUAUAUUUAUAGAAAAAAUUAAAAAAUUUAUAGUGAAUUAGUAUUGUGGAAUAAAAUUGAAAAUAUUGAAAUAAAAAUUUAUAUAAAAGUAAAUUUCAUUUAUUGUAUCUUGUGUAUCAGAGUUUAUUAAAAAGAUAAUUUAGUUAAAUUUAUUUCGAAUUUCAAAGAGUUAAUUAAUUAAAAAAGUUAAUAUUGCAUAAUUAUUUUUAAUAAUUAAUUGGAAAUGAAAAGUUAAUCGUUUUGAAAUAUAUCUAAUUUUUUUAGAAAAAAAUUUAAUUUUAAAUUAUUUUUUUAAUUAAUUUAUUAAUUAAUUAAUUAAAAAAAUAAUUUUAUAUUUUAAGGGAUAAGCUUUAAAUUAAAUUUUUAUAAUAAAAAUAAAAUAAUUGAAAUUUUUAAGAUUUAUAUUUUUUAUAAAUUAUAAUUUUUUAUAAAUAAUUUCAUUUAAUUAAAAUUUUAUUUUAAUUUAAUUUUUUAUAAAAAAAUAUUUUUUAAUAAUAAAAAAUUAGUUAUAAUGAUAAAAUUAGUAUAUAAUUUAAAAUAAAAAAAAAAAUUAUUUAAAUUAAUAAAAAGGAAUUCGGCAAAAAU
rnacentral:rRNA from 1 species